GGAAAAUUGGUGGAUUUCAAGGAAUUAAGCAAGUAAAGAUGGUGAGUCUUCUAACAAUGGUGAAGACAUUGUGCCAGAGGACAAAGAAUAGGAGCAUUUUGAACUCUCGAUAUCAUAAGGAUCGGCCUAACAUGUAAUCAUUAACGUGUAUGGUCCAUCGCAAAUAGGUACAGUCAUCUCAUAGCAUUUUAUCCUGAGUCACUCCGCUAUUAGAGGUUGAGUCAUAGCACUUUAUUUAUUAAGUUGCAAAUGGAUAUUGAUUUUGUUAUACGUAAAUAAUUUAAGAAUAUGA